ensembl:snoRNA
AUCCUUUUGUAAUUCAUGAGUGUGACUGGGUGUUCACAUCCAUGUGUGAGACGUGCCACUCUCAAACCUUGUCACAACGUUGGCACAUUACCCAUGUGACA